rnacentral:rRNA from 1 species
CUAGACGCAUUUUUAGUGGCGGACGGGUGAGUAACACGUGAGCAACCUGCCCGAAAAGUGAGGAAUAGCCCGGGGAAACUCGGAUUAAUACCGCAUAUGAUUCUGCGAGGCAUCUUGUGGCAAUCAAAGCUGGGGAUCGUAAGACCUGGCGCUUUCGGAUGGGCUCGCGGCCUAUCAGCUUGUUGGUAAGGUAACGGCUUACCAAGGCUACGACGGGUAACUGGUCUGAGAGGACGACCAGUCACACUGGAACUGAGACACGGUCCAGACGCC